CGUCACCGACCCUACUGCUUGCCCGUUAUCGGGGCAUGGCGUCAACCCAAUUGCCUCGGGCUCGCCCGACGU
rnacentral:sRNA from 1 species